AUCUGGACGGCGGAAUUCAGGAUGGUCGGCAGGCCUCGUGCUUGUCCGGCCGUUUGAUAUUUCCGUCGUCGUGUCAGACGUCGCGACCUGUUCGUCGUCGGUCCUUGCUCGGAGGAAUCGCGAUCGAGUUCGUUGCGGACGCGUUUCGGCGUGUUCCGCGGCGAAGACGCGGCUCUCUGGCUGACGACGGACAGUAGGCAAUGGUGUCCGGCGUCGUGUCUCGCACUCGACGUCGGUGCCGGUCAGCGACGAUUUCUUCGGACCUCUUUCCGACCCGUCUUGAAACACGGACCAAGGAGUCUAACAUGCGCGCGAGUCGCGGGGUUUCGAGCGUACCACGGUGCGCUCGUAAUCUCCGAAACCCGUACGUUGAAGGCGUAAUGAAAGUGAACAGGGAAGAUGGCGUUCCGAGUCCACGUACCGUGAUCGAGUAUCGCGGCCGGACGUCCGCACUCCCGGGGCGUCUCAAUGGUUCGACGCGGAUGCGGACGGUCGUCUUUCGGGGCGGCCGUCGGUCUGCGCCGGUCCGA
rnacentral:rRNA from 1 species